UAGGGCCUACGGGACGCAGCAGUAGGGAAUCUUCCACAAUGGGCGAAAGCCUGAUGGAGCAACGCCGCGUGGGUGAAGAAGGUCUUCGGAUCGUAAAACCCGGUUGUUAGAGAAGAAAGUGCGUGAGAGUAACUGUUCACGUUUCGACGGUAUCUAACCAGAAAGCCACGGCUAACUGCGUGCCAGCAGCCGCGGUAAUACGUAGGUGGCAAGCGUUAUCCGGAUUUAUUGGGCGUAA
rnacentral:rRNA from 1 species